rnacentral:rRNA from 1 species
UACGUAGGGGGCAAGCGUUGUCCGGAAUUAUUGGGCGUAAAGAGCGCGUAGGCGGUCCGAUAAGUCGGCUGUGAAAGUCCAGGGCUCAACCCUGGAAAGCCGGCCGAUACUGUCGGACUAGAGUCCGGAAGAGGCGAGUGGAAUUCCCGGUGUAGAGGUGAAAUUCGUAGAUAUUGGGAAGAACACCGGUGGCGAAGGCGGCUCUCUGGACCGUAACUGACGCUGAGGCGCGAAAGCGUGGGGAGCAAACAGG